AACAGUUACAGGUCUUAUUUAAAACUUUCCUGUAUUUCUUAAUAACAAAAUAUUACCAUAUUGGAUAUUUAACAUUUGAAGGAUGUACAUUAAAAUUGUGGAUUGAAAAAAAAAUAUCCUUGAAGAGAGGAUAUAUAUUCUUUGGAUAUACUAAAUUCAAUUUUGAACUAUUGUGAAAUAUUAUUGAAAUUAUACUGAUUGGAUUUAAAUUUGACCAGGACAGGAUUGGGACAAUAUUGCACAUUAGAUUAGAUUUUACGGCUAUUUGACAUUCUUAAGGAUCCAGAUUUGCAAACGGACAGACAGACAGACAGACAGAUUGACUGACGGGCGGACGGAGGGUAUUCAUGUAGUCCCCUCCGGUGUUAAAGAAUCUACAUUAAAGUCGCGUGCGACUUUCCAGUCCAUAGUUCCAUCUUUGCAAUUGACCAGUCGCCAAACGUCCGAUCGCUCCGCCUCUUAGAUCACGUGGUCUGGAAAUGCGAAACCUCCGACAAGCAAGCUUCAAAAUGACGGAUACGAUAAUGCUGAAAUGAUGUCCUUUACGAUGUUGGCUUAUAUUUCUUUCCUUACAAAAGAACAUUAUAACUUAAAAUUUUUCUAAUUAGUCAUUAUCAAUCUUAUCAGGAAGGUCUAAUAUGUAUUAUUCGUUCCAGAUUCGGGACGGAAAUAACACUAUUAAGGUUAAAGAGGUUGCGGGUAUUUGACUUUGAAAAAAGUUAAAGUUGUUUACUAUUAUUAUUAUUGUUAUUAUUAUUCCCUGAUGAAGGCAUGUUGCUGAAACUUUGGAACUAUAGUAAAUUUUGAAACUG